rnacentral:rRNA from 1 species
CCUACGGGAGGCAGCAGUGGGGAAUAUUGCACAAUGGGCGCAAGCCUGAUGCAGCCAUGCCGCGUGUGUGAAGAAGGCCUUCGGGUUGUAAAGCACUUUCAGCGGGGAGGAAGGCGGUGAGGUUAAUAACCUCAUCGAUUGACGUUACCCGCAGAAGAAGCACCGGCUACACUCCGUGCCAGCAGCCGCGGUAAUACGGAGGGUGCAAGCGUUAAUCGGAAUUACUGGGCGUAAAGCGCACGCAGGCGGUCUGUCAAGUCGGAUGUGAAAUCCCCGGGCUCAACCUGGGAACUGCAUUCGAAACUGGCAGGCUAGAGUCUUGUAGAGGGGGGUAGAAUUCCAGGUGUAGCGGUGAAAUGCGUAGAGAUCUGGAGGAAUACCGGUGGCGAAGGCGGCCCCCUGGACAAAGACUGACGCUCAGGUGCGAAAGCGUGGGGAGCAAACAGGAUUAGAUACCCGUGUAGUC